rnacentral:rRNA from 1 species
AUGGCAAAGGAGAUGCGUGCGUUCGCGCGCAAGGCCCCCCAGGAAUCAUGUGUACGUGGCCAAGAUGACCACGCGGCUCGCAGCCCCGUCUGGGCCAUCCUCACUACCGUCCUCGCCUUAGAGUUCAGCAUCGGAACUAAAACCUGCUGCUCUGAAGGUGCCAGCGUCGGUGAGGGAAUUUAUCAAUGGUGGGUUCAGUACAGUAUCUGCUGCUAUGUUAUUUGCAGCCAGAGAAGAUAUAUGUUCAUGCCAUUUUCUUAA